GAUGAACGCUAGCAGGAGGCUUAAUACAUGCAAGUCGAGCGGGAUCCACCUUUCGGGGUGGUGAGAGCGGCGCACGGGUGAGUAACGCGUACACGACCUACCUCUGACAAGGGGAUAGCCCUGGGAAACUGGGAUUAGUACCCCUAUACGAUUCCGGAUAAUAAAGGUCUGGAAUGAAAGCUCCGGCGGUCAGAGAUGGGUNUGCGUCUGAUUAGCUAGUUGGUAGGGUAACGGCCUACCAAGGCGAUGAUCAGUAGGGGGCGUGAGAGCGUGGUCCCCCACACGGGUACUGAGACACGGACCCGACUCCUACGGGA
rnacentral:rRNA from 1 species